UCUAUAAGAAAUAUCCGUCAGAAAAAUUCUUUUUGUCCUGCAAAUUGAUAAGUGCAAUCCACCAUUAGUAUCUAUAAAUUCCACGAGUGAUAUCAAGUUUCUCAGCAGCAACCCUUAAUCCAUCUUCCAAGGGCUGAUCUUAUCAGAGUAAUUUCUUUUUCUUUUUUUUUCCACAAUUUCUCAUUCUUUUUUUUUUUUUUUUGCACGUUAAAAAUCAGCAUAUUUUCGGGUUUUUGGAUCUCAUCAUCUUGAUUAAUAAUGGAAACUAUAGAGAGUUUAACAGUAAACAAGCCAUUGAUGAUAUUCAGCAAAAGCACUUGCUGCCUUUGCCACACCGUUAAAACACUGAUAUACAGCUUGGGAGCAAAGCCUACAGUUUAUGAAGUAGAUAAGAUUCCAAAUGGACAGCAAUUAGAAAUGGCACUGCAGGAACUCGGACUGAACCCAACUGUACCGGCAGUGUUCAUUGGACAAAAAUUUGUUGGAGGGGCCAACGAGGUCAUCAGUCUCCAUGUCCAAGGCAAACUAGUCCAGUUGCUUCAGAAUACUUAAGCCCACGGCCGCUUGGAUAAGAUUAAUAAUACUAUGAUAAUGAAAUCUUGUAGAUGUAAAAUUAGUAGUGUGGUUAUAGACGAUGUUAAGUGAAGGACUUCGUUCUCUCUAUUCAGUCUCAUAAUAAUGAAAAGAAGGAUUCCCCGAUUAUGUUCAAAUGAGACGAUCCAGGAUCGUAUAAUGAUAAAGUGGAUGUCUUAAGAUUGAAUCAUGCAGCAUGCAAUUGAUUCAAAUAACAAAACACACACCGGUUCUUGAUCAGUCCAUCCAUAAAUGGGUCUCCUGAAGCUGCUCGGACUACUUUGGUGGCCAUUUUACCAAUUUUUAGUUUAAACUAGUUUGGUAACUGUAGUUGUAUUGAAUCUUUUCUUGCAUGUGACUAAAAUGAUAUCUUCGAUUGAACUUAAAAAAACUAGAUAAUGGGUAACACAAAAAAUCAUUCCAAAAUAUGGGAAACCAGAAAAAAUUCAGUAAUGAUCCUCGGCCACAGGAAAAUGAAGCCCCACCCCACGCCCUCCCAAAUCUGAAUUCAAACCAGCCUUCUAAUUUACUAUAUUUCAGCUCCAAUGGCUUCACCAGCAGCAGCUCCGCCGGCUGUAUUUUUUCUUGGACUGAGGUACCAAAAGAGAAUUCGAAGCGCGAAAUUGGGUAAGACGAAGAAGAAAUAUGCAUGGAAAUUUUACGGUUUAUGCAGUUAAAGAUCCGAACAGCCGGCAAUAGGCACCUCCUGCAGUGGACACGAGAAUUCAUUGGGAGAAUGAGAAUGAGGGCUGGUUAGGGGAAAGUAAUUCCCAGUCACAGACAACACAAUUCAAAGAUGAGGAGAAACUUCUGAAUGAAAAAUUCUCGGAUCUACUCAACGGUUCAUCUGAUUCUUAUUGCCAGCAAACCUGCUAUGGUGCCAAAGAGGGUUUGACGCCUUCCUUGAUAAACCCUCACAAUAGGGGGCAAGAAUUUUUUGGACAUUUGUUAUUCACAUGAGUCCCACUCCAUGUGAGUAUCUAUCAACAAGAACGUCAAAUUCCUUCUGGCAAAGGAACUUAAUUCUUUUGCAGGUUCUUAGAGAAGCUGCAAAUGCAAAUUUGGAAGAAAUAAAAGCCGCUUACCAGAAGUUGUCGAAGGAAUACCAUCCUGACACUGCAGAACUUCCUCUGAAAGUUGCUUCAAAAAAGCUCAUGAAAUUACGAGAAAUUUACAGUGUUCUGAGCAACAACGAGAAACGCAAGUUCCACGACUGGUCACUUGCUCAAGAGGCAGCAAGAAGUGGAGAAAACGAGGAUGAAGCUUGAAGAACCCUAUAUGCAAGAUAUAGAGAAUUGGGAAUCCAUGCCAGACACAGUGGACCGUUUAGGUUGACGAAAUAUGGAGUUCAGUGAUCAGGCAAAGUGUGCUCUAACUUCCGAUAUUUUAGUAGCAAUUUUUUUCAGUUUGUUAUGCCAUCUUCUUCAAAGAACCAUACUGAUACCAGUCUCAAAAUGGUACCUAUGACAUUAUUCAAUUGUGCAUAAAAGUGCAGUUACUUA